UCCAACUUUCUAACCCACACUCCUCUCUCUCUCUCUCUCUCUCUCUCUCUCUUUACUUCCUCAUUCGGAAGCUAGAGUUCGAAGUAGUGAUCUGAAAUUCAGAACCGAAACUCCGGCGACUGUGACAAGUUUUUUCACUUUAAACCCGACCAGACCAUAGCAAGAGUCUCCAAAAUACCAAGCCCCAUCAGUGAAGGAAGGGAAAGAUGGCCAGAAAUUGCCUUCCAAUCCUGAAGAGGUUGAGGACCUACGAUGUGAUUCUGCUGCAAAUUGACUGAUUACAUUCUCUUACAAUGAACUAAAGAUAAUAACAGAGAAUUUUAGGCCAGAUCAUGUGUUGGGUGGAGGAGGAUUUGGAACUGUUUAUAAAGGAUACGUUUCUGAGGAUUUAAGUAAGGGGCUUCAGCCCCUUCAAGUAGUAGUCAAGGUUCAUGAUGGGGAUAAUAGUUUUCAGGGCCACAGAGAAUGGGUGGUACUUUUGUCUUUGGAGAUUAUUUCUCUUUCAGUUCUGCUAAGAACUUGGCAGGUUUGUAGGCAGAGAUUAUAUUUCUAGGACAACUCUCUCAUCCAAAUUUGGUUAAACUCAUUGGAUACUAUUGUAAUUUCUGCA